GUUAAUGUAACUUAUACA
rnacentral:tRNA from 1 species